rnacentral:rRNA from 1 species
UACAGAGGUCCCAAGCGUUGUUCGGAUUCACUGGGCGUAAAGGGUGCGUAGGUGGUUGGGUAAGUCUGAUGUGAAAUCUCCGGGCUCAACUCGGAAAUGGCAUUGGAUACUAUCCAGCUUGAGGAGUGGAGGGGGGACUGGAAUACUUGGUGUAGCAGUGAAAUGCGUAGAUAUCAAGUGGAACACCAGUGGCGAAGGCGAGUCCCUGGACACUUCCUGACACUGAGGCACGAAAGCUAGGGGAGCAAACAGG